rnacentral:rRNA from 1 species
UACGUAGGGACCGAGCGUUGUCCGGAAUCAUUGGGCGUAAAGAGCGUGUAGGCGGCUUGUUAAGUCUUGCGUGAAAUCUCGGGGCUCAACCCCGAGCGGUCGUGAGAAACUGGCAGGCUAGAGUGCGGGAGAGGAGAGUGGAAUUCCUGGUGUAGCGGUGAAAUGCGCAGAUAUCAGGAAGAACACCCGUGGCGAAGGCGGCUCUCUGGAACGCAACUGACGCUGAGACGCGAAAAGCGUGGGGGAGCAAACAGG